rnacentral:rRNA from 1 species
AACGAACGCUGGCGGCAGGCCUAACACAUGCAAGUCGAACGCCCCGCAAGGGGAGUGGCAGACGGGUGAGUAACGCGUGGGAACGUACCCUUCGGUUCGGAAUAACCCGGGGAAACUCGGGCUAAUACCGGAUACGUCCGCAAGGAGAAAGAUUUAUCGCCGAAGGAUCGGCCCGCGUCGGAUUAGCUAGUUGGUGGGGUAAUGGCCCACCAAGGCGACGAUCCGUAGCUGGUCUGAGAGGAUGAUCAGCCACACUGGGACUGAGACACGGCCCAGACUCCUACGGGAGGCAGCAGUGGGGAAUCUUGCGCAAUGGGCGAAAGCCUGACGCAGCGACGCCGCGUGAGGGAUGACGGCCU